UGGGGAAUAUUGCACAAUGGGCGCAAGCCUGAUGCAGCCAUGCCGCGUGUGUGAAGAAGGCCUUCGGGUUGUAAAGCACUUUCAGCGGGGAGGAAGGCGAUAAGGUUAAUAACCUUGUCGAUUGACGUUACCCGCAGAAGAAGCACCGGCUAACUCCGUGCCAGCAGCCGCGGUAAUACGGAGGGUGCAAGCGUUAAUCGGAAUUACUGGGCGGAAAGCGCACGCAGGCGGUCUGUCAAGUCGGAUGUGAAAUCCCCGGGCUUAACCUGGGAACUGCAUUCGAAACUGGCAGGCUAGAGUCUUGUAGAGGGGGGUAGAAUUCCAGGUGUAGCGGUGAAAUGCGUAGAGAUCUGGAGGAAUACCGGUGGCGAAGGCGGCCCCCUGGACAAAGACUGACGCUCAGGUGCGAAAGCGUGGGGAGCAAACAGG
rnacentral:rRNA from 1 species